rnacentral:rRNA from 1 species
AUACAGAGGGUGCGAGCGUUAAUCGGAAUUACUGGGCGUAAAGCGCGCGUAGGCGGCUUAUUAAGUCAGAUGUGAAAUCCCCGGGCUCAACCUGGGAACUGCAUCUGAUACUGGUAAGCUAGAGUUUUGGAGAGGGAAGUAGAAUUUCAGGUGUAGCGGUGAAAUGCAUAGAGAUCUGAAGGAAUACCAGUGGCGAAGGCGACUCCCUGGACUUGAACUGACGCUGAGGUACGAAAGCGUGGGUAGCAAACGGGAUUAGAAACCCUAGUAGUCC